rnacentral:rRNA from 1 species
UGGGGAAUUUUGGACAAUGGGCGAAAGCCUGAUCCAGCAAUGCCGCGUGUGUGAAGAAGGCCUUCGGGUUGUAAAGCACUUUUGUCCGGAAAGAAAUCCUUGGCUCUAGUACAGUCGGGGGAUGACGGUACCGGAAGAAUAAGCACCGGCUAACUACGUGCCAGCAGCCGCGGUAAUACGUAGGGUGCAAGCGUUAAUCGGAAUUACUGGGCGUAAAGCGUGCGCAGGCGGUUUGCUAAGACCGAUGUGAAAUCCCCGGGCUCAACCUGGGAACUGCAUUGGUGACUGGCAGGCUAGAGUAUGGCAGAGGGGGGUAGAAUUCCACGUGUAGCAGUGAAAUGCGUAGAGAUGUGGAGGAAUACCGAUGGCGAAGGCAGCCCCCUGGGCCAAUACUGACGCUCAUGCACGAAAGCGUGGGGAGCAAACAGGAUUAGAUACCCUGGUAGUCCACGCCCUAAACGAUGUCAACUAGUUGUUGGGGAUUCAUUUCCUUAGUAACGUAGCUAACGCGUGAAGUUGACCGCCUGGGGAGUACGGUCGCAAGAUUAAAACUCAAAGGAAUUGACGGGGU